GCGAGAGUGCGCACAGGUAAGCGCGGUGCACGUUUCACCAGAAGUCUUCAGAAACUUCUCCGAGUGGCGCACUGCAGGGUGAGCUCUUGACCUGCGGUGUGAGCACGCAAGAGGGAAUCUGGUGCAGUUACAUAACGCCGGCCUUUCUGCAGAGGAGCAAGGGACAAAAGGGCUUCACAGAGGGCAGAGUGUUGCUCUGUUGGCACAGACAUUUCAGCAACAGAUUUCCCUCUGGUUUGCAUGCACACAACGAGGAGAAGAGAAACACGGUGCUUGGUGAUGUGAACGGCGGCCAUGCUAAAAGAUGACUUGCAGUCGUGCUGUUGAUGUACUACAAACCACAAAAUUGGUUGCAACACACAAUCAGUACAUGGUGGAGCAGAAAAGCAUGGCAACCCAAGAGAAGGUGUUUAACCAUUAGAUGCAUA